UACGAAGGGGGCUAGCGUUGCUCGGAAUCACUGGGCGUAAAGGGUGCGUAGGCGGGUCUUUAAGUCAGGGGUGAAAUCCUGGAGCUCAACUCCAGAACUGCCUUUGAUACUGAAGAUCUUGAGUCCGGGAGAGGUAAGUGGAACUGCGAGUGUAGAGGUGAAAUUCGUAGAUAUUCGCAAGAACACCAGUGGCGAAGGCGGCUUACUGGUCCGGUUCUGACGCUGAGGCGCGAAAGCGUGGGUAGCAAACAGG
rnacentral:rRNA from 1 species